AGAAAGCUUAAGCACGGAAACGAGCAGUUAAUUCUAUUUGCCAGGGUUCUGCUGCUGAUGUUAUCAAGGUGGCUAUGCUUAACAGUCAUUCUGUAAUUACCAAUGGGAGUAACACACUUGAUUCUAUGGAUGGGCUAACGCAGAACUUUUAACAAAUCAGAGGGCGUUGUCACCUUCUUUUGCAGGUGCAUGAUGAAUUUGUGCUUGAAGUUGACCCGUCUAGGGUAGCAGAGGCUGUAAGGAAUCCCCGGGCCAUCGAGUGCGUGCCGUCAGUUUGACCCAGGACCGGCGCGGCAGAGGCGUUGUGUUCUUUCAGUGCAUAUUUGCUCCCUCUAGCGAGCACCACGGAGGAGGUGAGGGGCAAUUAGGGAGUAAAUAAAUGUGACAAUAUGGUUUAGAAAGCCCCAAAGCCGAGGCAGGAUGAGAAGGAAGCAGAGAGGCGAGAUGUGAUAUGAACCACCAAUCGCCCCUCCAGCGACUAGGCCUUCUCCCUCAUCCUCAGCCCCGUCGCUGCCGCUGACGCCUUCGGGAGUAGGGGAGGCAUCAGUGACGUUGCCAACAAGGCAGCGGUUGUGGUUGGGGUUUAGCACCAGGUUCCUCGCUGCUGCAUCUGCUGGG